rnacentral:rRNA from 1 species
AACGCUAGCUACAGGCUUAACACAUGCAAGUCGAGGGGCAGCAUUCCAGUUUGCUUGCAAACUGGAGAUGGCGACCGGCGCACGGGUGAGUAACACGUAUCCAACCUGCCGAUAACUCGGGGAUAGCCUUUCGAAAGAAAGAUUAAUACCCGAUGGCAUAAUAGAACCGCAUGGUUUGAUUAUUAAAGAAUUUCGGUUAUCGAUGGGGAUGCGUUCCAUUAGGCAGUUGGUGGGGUAACGGCCCACCAAACCUUCGAUGGAUAGGGGUUCUGAGAGGAAGGUCCCCCACAUUGGAACUGAGACACGGUCCAAACUCCUACGGGAGGCAGCAGUGAGGAAUAUUGGUCAAUGGACGAGAGUCUGAACCAGCCAAGUAGCGUGAAGGAUGACUGCCCUAUGGGUUGUAAACUUCUUUUAUAUGGGAAUAAAGUGGUCCACGUGUGGAUUUUUGUAUGUACCAUAUGAAUAAGGAUCGGCUAACUCCGUGCCAGCAGCCGCGGUAAUACGGAGGAUCCGAGCGUUAUCCGGAUUUAUUGGGUUUAAAGGGAGCGUAGGUGGACAGUUAAGUCAGUUGUGAAAGUUUGCGGCUCAACCGUAAAAUUGCAGUUGAUACUGGCUGUCUUGAGUACAGUAGAGGUGGGCGGAAUUCGUGGUGUAGCGGUGAAAUGCUUAGAUAUCACGAAGAACUCCGAUUG